rnacentral:rRNA from 1 species
AGUGAACGCUGGCGGUAGGCCUAACACAUGCAAGUCGAACGGCAGCACAGUAAGAGCUUGCUCUUACGGGUGGCGAGUGGCGGACGGGUGAGGAAUACAUCGGAAUCUACUUUUUCGUGGGGGAUAACGUAGGGAAACUUACGCUAAUACCGCAUACGACCUACGGGUGAAAGCAGGGGAUCUUCGGACCUUGCGCGAUUGAAUGAGCCGAUGUCGGAUUAGCUAGUUGGCGGGGUAAAGGCCCACCAAGGCGACGAUCCGUAGCUGGUCUGAGAGGAUGAUCGGCCACACUGGAACUGAGACACGGUCCAGCCCCCUACGGGAGGCAGCAGGGGGGAAUAUUGAACAAUGGGCGCAAGCCUGACCCAGCAAUGCCGCGUGGGUGAAGAAGGCCUUGGGGUUGUAAACCCUUUUUUUGGGAAAAAAAAAGCAGCGUAUUAAAACCCCCCUGUUCUGACGGUACCAAAAAAAAAAGCCCCGGCUAACUUCGUG